UACGUAGGGGGCAAGCGUUGUCCGGAUUUAUUGGGCGUAAAGCGCGUGUAGGCGGCUUUGCAAGUCGGGUGUGAAAGCCCUCAGCUCAACUGAGGAAGGCGCCCGAAACUGCAGAGCUUGAGUACCGGAGAGGGUGGCGGAAUUCCCCAAGUAGAGGUGAAAUUCGUAGAUAUGGGGAGGAACACCGGUGGCGAAGGCGGCCACCUGGACGGUCACUGACGCUGAGACGCGAAAACGUGGGUAGCAAACAGG
rnacentral:rRNA from 1 species